GUGUUCACUUCAGCAGCACACAUACUAAAAUUGGAACAAUACAGAGAAGAUUAGCAGG
rnacentral:snRNA from 11 species